rnacentral:rRNA from 1 species
UACGGAGGGGACUAGCGUUGUUCGGAAUUACUGGGCGUAAAGCGCACGUAGGCGGAUAUUUAAGUCAGGGGGUGAAAUCCCAGAGCUCAACUCUGGAACUGCCUUUGAUACUGGGUAUCUUGAGUAUGGAAGAGGUGAGUGGAAUUCCGAGUGUAGAGGUGAAAUUCGUAGAUAUUCGGAGGAACACCAGUGGCGAAGGCGGCUCACUUGGUCCGAUUACUG